rnacentral:rRNA from 1 species
ACAAGGCGACCCGCUGAAUUUAAGCAUAUAAUUAAGCGGAGGAAAAGAAACUAACCAGGAUUCCCCUAGUAGCGGCGAGCGAAGCGGGAAAAGCCCAAUAUGAAAAGCCAGCUUGCUGGCGUUGUAGUUUGAGCGGCCUGCAGCUGUCAGUCUGGGAAAGUGGCAUGGAAAUGUCCACCGUGGAGGGUGAGAGUCCCGUCCAUCCCAGUCAGGGCAGUUGGUACGUGGCCGUUUCAGUCGAGUCGGGUAGCUUGGGAAUGCUGCUCUAAUCGGUGGUAAAUCUCAUCGAAGGCUAAAUACUGGUAGGAAACCGAUAGCGCACAAGUACCGUGAGGGAAAGGUGAAAAGCACUUUGAAAAGAGGGUGACAAGAACCUGAAACCGUUACGAGGGAAGCGGAUUGCAUCGAGUUGAUGGGUGUUUGCGCUUUCAGCCGGAAAAUUUUUUUUUGGUGGACUGGCGCAGACACUUACCCGUCGUGAGUUCUUGGCUGCCGAACCAACGGCGUGCCGAGGACUGUGGGAUCCCCUUUAUUGGGUGAGGACGAUGGGGCAGCGGUGCGAUACGACCCGUCUUGUAACACGGACCAAGGAGUCUAGCGGUGCUGCGAGUCGAAGGGACGUUUAAUCCUUGUAGGCGCAGUGAAAGCGAAUUACCAUAAGAAAUUGUGCUAAUUUGAGGGGGCAUGAGGUCGUUGACCAGAAAGUCCCACCUGGAGCAGUAGCGCUAGGACCCGAAAGAUGGUGAACUAUGCCUGAGUAGGGCGAAGCCAGAAGAAAUUCUGGUGGAGGCUCGUAGCGGUGCUGACGUGCAAAUCGCUCGUCGAACUUGGGUAUAGGGGCGAAAGACUAAUCGAACCAUCUGGUAGCUGGUUCCCCCCGAAGUUUCUCUCAGGAUAGCGGGCUGACAUGACGUUGUUUUGUGCGGUAAAGCGAAUGAUUAGCGCAUUUGGGGGCGUGCAGCCUUCUGGCGAUUCUCAAACUUUAAAUGCGCAAGCUGGCGCCGCUGCUUAAUUGAGCGGUUUUAGCUAGAAAAAAACGUCAGCCCCGUGGGCCACUUUUGGUAAGCAGAACUGGCGAUGCGGGAUGAACCGAAAGCGUAGUUAAGGCGUCAAAUUGUCCGCUUAUAGAUCCCACAAAAGGCGUUGGUUCAUCGAGACAGCAGGACGGUGGCCAUGGAAGUCGGAAUCCGCUAAGGAGUGUGUAACAACUCACCUGCCGAAUGAGGUAGCCCUGAAAAUGGAUGACGCUUAAGCGGGCAGCCGAUACUACGCCGUCGAUUUUAGUGAAAAACAAAUCGAUGAGUAGGGGGGCGUGGUGGUCGUGUCGAAGCAUUGCGUGCGAACGCGUGUGAAACGGCCACUAGUGCAGAUCUUGGUGGUAGUAGCAAAUAUUCAAGUGAGAACCUUGAAGGGCGAAGCGGGGAAGGGUUCCAUGCGAACAUUGAUUGGGCAUGGGUGAGUCGUCCCUAAGCCGAGUGGCCAUUGCUUACUCAGGCGGCGAAAGGGAAGCGGGUUGAAAUUCCCGCACACGGAUGUGGAACAAGGCGGUGACGCAAAUUACUGGGGCGGUGACGUUGGCAGUGGCGCUGGGCAGAGUUUUCUUUUCUGUUUAACCGCCUGACGCUUGCUCUGUGGAAUCCGAUUGUCGGGAGAAACAGGCAAGGCACGGGUAGAGCGCCGGGCUUUUUCCGGCGUCCAGCUCGCCGCUGACGACCCUUGAAAAACUGUCCUCAGGUAUUAAAAAUCCACGCCGUGGCGUACCGAUAACCGCAUCAGGUCCCCAAGGUGAACAGCCUCUGCUCGAUAUGAAAAAUGCAGGUAAGGGAAGUCGGCAAAUUAGACCCGUAACUUUGGGAAAAGGGUUGGCUCUAGUGCUGCGUGAGGCCUGGUCGGUGGCUGUGCUGUUGUUUGGUGGCGAACGUUGCCUUGAGCGUUUUUCGCAAGGAGGAUGUUCGGCAAUGUAGCUCUGGACAACCGCGGCCGGCGACGCUCACAGCAUGCAGCAAACUAGAACUGCAACGGGCAAGGGGAAUCCGACUGUUUAAUUAAAACAAAGCAUUGCGAAGGCCGGGGACGGUGAUUACGCAAUGUGAUUUCUGCUCAGUGCUCUGAAUGUCAAAGUGAAGAGAUUCAAUCAAGCGCGGGUAAACAGCGGGAGUAACUAUGACUCUCUUAAGGUAGCCAAAUGCCUCGUCAUCUAAUUAGUGACGCGCAUGAAUGGAUUAACGAGAUUCCUACUGUCCCUAUCUGCUUCUAGCGAAACCACAGCCAGGGGAACGGGCCUGGAAAAAUCGGCGGGGAAAGAAGACCCUGUUGAGCUUGACUCUAUUCUAAUUUUGUGGAGCAAGUUGGGAGGUGUAGCAUAGGUGGGAGACUUUACGUCGCCAGUGAAAUACCACUACUCCCAAUCUUGCUUUACUUACUAGGCAGGUGUGGAUGGGGUCAGUUUUCUGAUUCUUUUUUUGGAGCCAAGCCGGUUUUUUCUUCGGGAAAGACCAUAGGUGACCACCGCCUAGGACAGAUUUAGGAGGGGAGUUUGGCUGGGGCGGUACAUCUUCUACAAGACAACGAAGGUGUCCUAAGAUCAGCUCAGUGAGAACAGAAAUCUCACGUAGCGCAAAAGGGUAAAAGCUGGUUUGAUUUCGAUUUUCAGUGCGAGUCGAAAACGCGAAAGCGUGGCCUAUCGAUCCUUUCACGAUUCGAGAUUUGAAGCGAGAGGUGUCAGAAAAGUUACCACAGGGAUAACUGGCUUGUGGCGGCCAAGCGUUCAUAGCGACGUCGCUUUUUGAUCCUUCGAUGUCGGCUCUUCCUAUCAUUGCGUCGCAGAAGGCGCAAAGUGUCGGAUUGUUCACCCGCCAACAGGGAACGUGAGCUGGGUUUAGACCGUCGUGAGACAGGUUAGUUUUAUCCUACCGAUGAAAGGUUGUCGCGGCAGUAACUUAAGGCAGUACGAGAGGAACGCUGAAUUCGGAUCUCUGGCACAUGCAGCUGCGGGAGGCCGCAGUGCUGCGACGCUACCGUCCGAACGAUCAGAAAGG